CAGCCGCCGCGGUAAUACGAAGGGUGCAAGCGUUACUCGGAAUUACUGGGCGUAAAGCGUGUGUAGGUGGUUGUUUAAGUCUGUCGUGAAAGCCCUGGGCUCAACCUGGGAAUUGCGAUGGAUACUGGGCGACUAGAGUGCGGUAGAGGAUAGUGGAAUUUCCGGUGUAGCAGUGAAAUGCGUAGAGAUCGGAAGGAACAUCUGUGGCGAAGGCGACUAUCUGGGCCAACACUGACACUGAGAGACGAAAGCUAGGGGAGCAAAUGGGAUUAGAUACCCCGGUAGUCCCUGUCUCUUAUAA
rnacentral:rRNA from 1 species